AUCCAGAUGUCUUUUAUUUUUGUUCAGUCUACUCAUCUCUGUGAGAUAGGAGCAGUGGGUAAUGGAGAUGUAUUUAUACAAAUGAUUACCCUCCAGCGAUUAUUGGGCCAGAAUUCCACAGAGAGGUGCAGGGACAGUUCCACAUUCUCAGACUUUCUUGAUAGAAACAAAUGUGAAAGAAUCAGAGCAGCAAGUAGCUUCGGGCCCAGUAGAAAAUUGUCCUGUGGCAGGAGACUACCAUCCAACUUGUUCUCAUGUUAUUUGCCCCUCCCACCAUUUAGGCGUGUAGCAAUAAUGAAUUUAUUCCCCUCUUUAUCAGGCUUUAUCACAUAAAGACCUGUUAUAGAGCUAGUUGUUAAAUACUAACCUAACAUAAAAAGUGACUAUUACAGGGAAUUUUGUUGUUGCCAUCAUAUAUGUCCAUUUCAGUGACAGAUAUGAUAGGACUAGGGGUCACACACUCCAUUUCUGCAAAUUCCAUUUCAGUGAACUUUGUCUUCUUGAAGUAUUAAAAUUUGUAGUGGAAUCAUUACAGCCAAUAUAUAGUAUCAUUAGCUCCAUUCAUUAAGAUUUGGAAAUAUUUUUGUUAAGUGGAGGUGUUUUGUUUACUGUAACAAGUCAGAUUCCAUUAUGUAGAUGAUACUCUUCUUUUUAUUUUCAUUUUUUUAUGUCCCUUUUACAAAGCUUAGUGGCUGAAUAUAGGCCCUUUUAUCAAAAUCCGAUCACUUGCGAGCUGCUCCGUUGUUUUUUAUAUCUGUUUCUCACAGAUUCUACUUCUCAGUGGGUAUGAUUUCAUAGGAAAGAAUUGUCUUUUUGUGUUAGGAUAUACUGAAUUGUAAUAUUAUUAAUACUUAAAACUUUUUAGCUCAUUUCCUUUUCACAUUCUUCUUUCUCAUCAUAAAACCACAAGGUGAAGGAUAAAUAAGUACCUUUUAGAUAAUCAGAAAAAGUAACUGUGAACAGGUCUCAUCGGAAUUAUCUCUUCAAAAAUCAGUGGCUAAUUUUUUCUUCUAUUAGUCUAGAAUUAAUCUUUUAUUUUUACUACUUCUGGCUGUUUUUUAGUGACACAGUUUAGUAAAUCUUUUGCCAGAUUUGACCUAGAUCAGAAAUGUGACCACAUUUGCUUUCAUGGUUGUAGAGACAGUUGAUACUCAAAAUCAGUUGAGCAAAAAAAUUAUCCUUUCUUUCCAUCUUCCAAGUUUAUUUUCAUUUAUACGCUAAUAUUUGCAGUUCAAAAAAAAUCAUUCUAAGAUUUCUCAGCAUGUUUUAUUUUCCCAUUAUGGAUCAAUCAGAUAUCUUUAGGAGGCCUGUAGCUACCUUAUCAAGGAGGAGAAUGUUUCUGUACAGUCCUUUUUAAAAUGGUACUAAUUGCUUUCAUACCUAGACUUACUGAUUUUUCUUUCUUUCUUUUUUUUUAUGCCACCAUAAGAUGGUUUCUCAGUCUCAGUAUGAUUGAUGUUUGGGACAAGUAAUGCUUUGUCUUGGGAUGUUGUAUUACGCAUUACAGGCUAUUUGGCUUAUACUGCAGGAGGCAGUAUCACCCCCAGUUGAGAACCAGUAAUAUAGACUAUUAGAAGAAAAUUGAAGGCUCAGCAAAUGUAGUGUGUCUAUCAUGCUUCUUUUCUCUCUGCCUCAUUUUACCUUAGGAAAUGGUUGUUAGCAAAAAGAGAUGGUUGUAUCUUAAAUAGGGUUUCUGUUUUACUGGUUAAUAAGGCAAGAAAAAAAAUCUUAUGUUGUAAUUGUCUUCUGCUGUUUUUUACCCACUCACUGCCAUCCCCAUGCCUGUAUCCUCUGUGGUCUUAAUGAGUGGGCUUAUGACUUCAGUAUAGUAUUAAUGUAGUCUGCAAAGCAUCUCGAUCUGCCUUUUUGCUUCCUUUUCAUCUCUGAACAAAAGAGAUGAUCACUCUCUUUUACCUGGUUCUGUGCAAGACUCCCAUCAAACUGGAAGUUCCCCAAAAGCAGAAACCAUGUCUACUUCCACAGAACUCAACUCUGUGCCUUCCUAUUGGUGGGAUGAAUUUUUACUUUAUAAGUGUAACUUUUUUUGCAUAUAUACUUCAUCCUUGAUUUACAUACAUUUGUUAAUAGGGAGCAGCAUAUAUUUGUUGCGAGUAAAAUAUCUUUUGUUGGAUUAAAAAGGACAACAGUUGACCCUUGAACAACAUGGAUGUGAACUGUGCAGGUCUGCUUAUAUGCAGAUUUUUUCCAUAAAUAUAUGUACCAUACUGUAAAUGUAUUUUCCUUUUGAUUUUCUUAAUAACAUUUUCUUUUCUCUAGCUUACUUUAUUUUCAGAACACAGUGUAUAAUGCAGAUAACAUACAAACUAUGUGUUAAUCAACUGUUCAUAUUAUCAGUAAAGAUUCUGGUCCCAGUAGGCUAUUAAUAGUUAAGUUUUUGGGGAGUCAAAAAUUAUAUACAGGUCUUUGUGCAGGGGAUUAGCACGCCUAACCCCCCGUGUUGUUGAAGGGUCAACUUAUGAGAGCUAGAAUCCUCUUACUUUUUUUUUUUAAUUCUUCAUAUGUUUAUAUAUUUGCAUAUGUGUUUGUGUAGAGAUACACAUAGUUAUAUCAACUGUCUAAGGUACCGUUGAAGCCUUUUCAUUCACAGGUUUUGUGUAUUUGACUGCAGACAGCUAGCUCACAGAUAGAAUCUUAAGAACACCAAACCCUCUCACGUUAGAGGGAAGUAACUUCAGAAACAUCCCCUUCUGCAGAGGACCUAUACUGGGGACCAGUCUUUAAUUAAAAUAAUCUAACCCAGGAGUUUGGCAAGUAUUUUAUAAUUCUCUGAAGAGAGGACCCUGGAGUUCUUCAACUUGAAGCGAUUCUAGAGUCAUCCAGAGACAACCUCGAUGGCUCUAAUCUACCCUAAAGGACUCUGAAUCCCUUUGGGAAAUAUAGAUCAUGUUUCUCAGUUAGAAUGAAAAUAUACUCUGGACCUACCUGGUCCCAGAAUCAUCUUCUUGCAUACCCAAUGCUGGGUCAUCUGGUUCAAACCAGUCAAAACAGUAACCCCAAAGAAGUCAAGUAGGUGAUCCAAAACCACAUUGUUUUUAAGUUUUGGAGCCUCAGAUAUUACAAAUAUGAAUACCAAAAUGCAAAUAUUUUUUGCACUUAGAACACUGGUUCUAAGUCAUUGGCUGUUUUGUCACCAUAUUCCCAUGGGACCCUUGCCCUUAGGGUAAUGCAGGAAUGAUCUUGGGAGUGGGAAUGUUAGAGACAGGAACCUGAAGAAUCAGAUAUUUCUGAAAUUCUCCGUAUGCCAUUUCUACUGCCUUUCCCCCCUUUAUUAUAAAUUUGAGUUAUCAAAAUGGCUAUGUCUGUAUAGAUAUCUAUAUUAUUUAGAAAAUAAAUGAUGUAAGGUUUCAAUUUAAAUGAGCCAUAUCUUUACAAUAAACUUUCAGACUGUUCCAGAGUAGCUAUACCAUUUUACAUUCCAACCAGCGAUGUAUGAAUGAUCCAAUUUCUCCAUAUCCUCACCAGCAUUUGAUGUCACAAUUUUUUAUUUAGCUACUGUGAUAGGUGUGAAGUUUUCUCAUUAUGGUUUUAAUUUGCAUUUCCCCAAUUAAUAAUGGUGUUUAACAUCUCUUCAUGUGCUUUUUUGCCAUCUAUUUAUCUUCUUCAGUGAACUGUCUGUUCAUGUCUUUUGUCCAUUUGCUAAUUGGGAUGUUUGCUAAAUGAGCCAUAUCUUUACAUGAAUAUCUUUUUAAAAAAUCUUUUUAAAAUCAGUAUGGUGACUUGAAAAAUCAUUAAGUAGCAUUUCUAAAUCCUUCUAGGCAAAGUGUAUAUAGCACUUGAAUGUGAUUUUAUAAUGUACUGGCAGAAGAGUUCUCACAUUUCUUCUGUACUCAUUAUGUAGUAUAGUACUAAUACUGUAUAACAGCAAAACAGUUUCAAAGAUACUUUUACUUAGAAUGUUAAGUAGAAUGUACAAAUACAUGUUUUGUCCAUAGCUAUCAUAAUGUUUGUAAUCUCUUAUUUAAAAUAAGCUGAUUCGUGUUUCAGAAUGAUUGUUUAAAAUUAACUUGAAAUUUUCCUAUUUGUGCAAGAUGAUUAAUACAGAUUCUAGUUCAUAUGCAUCAGCGAAUUCAUAAUCUUAUUUCUCUGAUGUUCUUUACAAAUUUCAUAGUGUUAUUAAAUAGUCAUUGAGAACCUCGUAAGUCAAUGUUGAGAUCUACAAAUACAAUCUAGGUGCAUAGCAAUAGGAAUGCGUAUGUGAAUUUUUCUCUAAUCUUUUUUCUACUUUAACUUUUGGAUUUCUUUUUAAUUUUACCUGGAAAUUCUUAUUUAAUGCUAUUUCCUAUUUUGGUUCCUGCUCAUAAGAAGGUCACAGAGAAAUUGGGGCACCUGGCUGGUUCAGAUCAAGCGUGACUCUUGAUCUCGGGGUUGUGAGUUUGAGCCCCAUAUUGGGUAUAGAGAUUACUUAAAAAUAAAAUCUUAAAAAAAAAAAAAGAAGGUCACAGAGAAACAAGCAUAUGUUAACUACAAGAUAAAUUUGGGCUUAAUAUGGUUAGAGAAGAAAGGUUUUCUGUAACCCUGCCUCUUUAAAUCCUGUUAGGCUUGUCAUUCUAUAUUGUACAUUUUUGUGCAAGGGAAAUUACUAGAGAAGAGGGUUAAUUCUUUGUGGUGGGAAAAAUGAUAUGGUUUGUUGUGAAAAUAUACUGGAUUUUUAAAUAUUUAGAAAGAUUUUAAUUAAGGAAAAAUUUCAAAUACUAACAUGAAAGAACCUAGCAGUUGUUAAAAAUCCGUUCUGAAAAUUACCUACAUUAUUUGGGAAACUAUAAUGAAACAGUAAAUGAUUUUUUAUAUACAUAUUAUGUAUUAAAGUCAUUUUUAUUUA
rnacentral:lncRNA from 1 species